rnacentral:rRNA from 1 species
GAGUUUGAUCAUGGCUCAGAUUGAACGCUGGCGGCAGGCCUAACACAUGCAAGUCGAACGGUAACAGGAAGAAGCUUGCUUCUUUGCUGACGAGUGGCGGACGGGUGAGUAAUGUCUGGGAAACUGCCUGAUGGAGGGGGAUAACUACUGGAAACGGUAGCUAAUACCGCAUAACGUCGCAAGACCAAAGAGGGGGACCUUCGGGCCUCUUGCCAUCGGAUGUGCCCAGAUGGGAUUAGCUAGUAGGUGGGGUAACGGCUCACCUAGGCGACGAUCCCUAGCUGGUCUGAGAGGAUGACCAGCCACACUGGAACUGAGACACGGUCCAGACUCCUACGGGAGGCAGCAGUGGGGAAUAUUGCACAAUGGGCGCAAGCCUGAUGCAGCCAUGCCGCGUGUAUGAAGAAGGCCUUCGGGUUGUAAAGUACUUUCAGCGGGGAGGAAGGGAGUAAAGUUAAUACCUUUGCUCAUUGACGUUACCCGCAGAAGAAGCACCGGCUAACUCCGUGCCAGCAGCCGCGGUAAUACGGAGGGUGCAAGCGUUAAUCGGAAUUACUGGGCGUAAAGCGCACGCAGGCGGAUUGUUAAGUCAGAUGUGAAAUCCCCGGGCUCAACCUGGGAACUGCAUCUGAUACUGGCAAGCUUGAGUCUCGUAGAGGGGGGUAGAAUUCCAGGUGUAGCGGUGAAAUGCGUAGAGAUCUGGAGGAAUACCGGUGGCGAAGGCGGCCCCCUGGACGAAGACUGACGCUCAGGUGCGAAAGCGUGGGGAGCAAACAGGAUUAGAUACCCUGGUAGUCCACGCCGUAAACGAUGUCGACUUGGAGGUUGUGCCCUUGAGGCGUGGCUUCCGGAGCUAACGCGUUAAGUCGACCGCCUGGGGAGUACGGCCGCAAGGUUAAAACUCAAAUGAAUUGACGGGGGCCCGCACAAGCGGUGGAGCAUGUGGUUUAAUUCGAUGCAACGCGAAGAACCUUACCUGGUCUUGACAUCCACGGAAGUUUUCAGAGAUGAGAAUGUGCCUUCGGGAACCGUGAGACAGGUGCCGCAUGGCUGUCGUCAGCUCGUGUUGUGAAAUGUUGGGUUAAGUCCCGCAACGAGCGCAACCCUUAUCCUUUGUUGCCAGCGGUCCGGCCGGGAACUCAAAGGAGACUGCCAGUGAUAAACUGGAGGAAGGUGGGGAUGACGUCAAGUCAUCAUGCCCCUUACGACCAGGGCUACACACGUGCUACAAUGGCGCAUACAAAGAGAAGCGACCUCGCGAGAGCAAGCGGACCUCAUAAAGUGCGUCGUAGUCCGGAUUGGAGUCUGCAACUCGACUCCAUGAAGUCGGAAUCGCUAGUAAUCGUGGAUCAGAAUGCCACGGUGAAUACGUUCCCGGGCCUUGUACACACCGCCCGUCACACCAUGGGAGUGGGUUGCAAAAGAAGUAGGUAGCUUAACCUUCGGGAGGGCGCUUACCACUUUGUGAUUCAUGACUGGGGUGAAGUCGGAACAAGGUA